rnacentral:ncRNA from 1 species
UAGCUCACAUAUUAGUUGAGGAACAACUUCAGGCUGGUCAUUUAGAGCCCCUACACUCUGCCCUUGGAACACACCCAUCUUUGUAAUUAGAAAAAAAUCUGGUAACGGGAGAUUAUUACAAGACCUAAGAUCUAUUAAUUGUGUUAUAGAGCUCAUGGGAGAGUUACAAUAUGGGCUUCCUUCUCCUACAGCUAUUCCUUUAGAUUAUUAUUUGAUAAUAAUAGAUCUGAAAGAUUCCUUCUUCUCUAUACCUUUGCACCCAGAUGACUAUAAAGAGUUUGCCUUUAG